rnacentral:rRNA from 1 species
AACGAUAUAGUGGCAGACGGGUGAGUAACGCGUGGAAACGUGCCUUUCACUACGGAAUAGCUUUUGGAAACGAAAGGUAAUACCGUAUACGCCCUCCGGGGGAAAGAUUUAUCGGUGAAAGAUCGGUCCGCGUUAGAUUAGCUAGUUGGUGAGGUAACGGCUCACCAAGGCUACGAUCUAUAGCUGGUCUGAGAGGAUGAUCAGCCACACUGGGACUGAGACACGGCCCAGACUCCUACGGGAGGCAGCAGUGGGGAAUAUUGCACAAUGGGCGCAAGCCUGAUGCAGCCAUGCCGCGUGAAUGAUGAAGGCCUUAGGGUUGUAAAAUUCUUUCGCCAGGGAUGAUAAUGACAGUACCUGGUAAGGAAGCCCCGGCUAACUUCGUGCCAGCAGCCGCGGUAAUACGAAGGGGGCUAGCGUUGUUCGGAAUUACUGGGCGUAAAGCGCACGUAGGCGGACUUUUAAGUCAGAUGUGAAAUCCCGAGGCUCAACCUCGGAACUGCAUUUGAAACUGGGAGUCUAGAGAUCAGGAGAGGUUAGCGGAAUACCGAGUGUAGAGGUGAAAUUCGUAGAUAUUCGGUGGAACACCAGUGGCGAAGGCGGCUAACUGGACUGAUACUGACGCUGAGGUGCGAAAGUGUGGGGAGCAAACAGGAUUAGAUACCCUGGUAGUCCACACCGUAAACGAUGAGUGCUAGUUGUCUGCAGGCAUGCCUGUAGGUGACGCAGCUAACGCAUUAAGCACUCCGCCUGGGGAGUACGGCCGCAAGGUUAAAACUCAAAGAAAUUGACGGGGGCCCGCACAAGCGGCGGAGCAUGUGGUUUAAUUC